GUAGGUGGCAAGCGUUGUCCGGAAUUAUUGGGCGUAAAGCGCGCGCAGGCGGUUCUUUAAGUCUGAUGUGAAAGCCCACGGCUCAACCGUGGAGGGUCAUUGGAAACUGGAGAACUUGAGUACAGAAGAGGAAAGCGGAAUUCCACGUGUAGCGGUGAAAUGCGUAGAGAUGUGGAGGAACACCAGUGGCGAAGGCGGCUUUCUGGUCUGUAACUGACGCUGAGGCGCGAAAGCGUGGGGAGCAAACAGGAUUAGAUACCCUGGUAGUCCACGCCGUAAACGAUGAGUGCUAAGUGUUAGGGGGGGUUUCCGCCCCCCUUAGUGCUGCAGCUAACGCAUUAAGCACUCCGCCUGGGAGUACGACCGCAAGGUUG
rnacentral:rRNA from 1 species